CACACCUCACGUUUUUGGCUGCCUUUUAUUCGCACAGUAGUCAAUAACGGUGUGGUUUGU
ensembl:miRNA